AGGCAAUUGAGAGUGGGGUCUGCCCUCCUUUCCUGGCUGUGUUUGCUGGACUUACACCUCAGAGAGCUGCUCUGGAUUUCUUCCUUAGGUACAUGUCAUAGCAAGUGACUACAUGAAGCUGUCCCUGUUGUUUAACUGUUGGGCGUCUGUGACACAGUGUGCUGCAUCUGUAGGAGAGCAUGUAUUUCAUGCAAAAAAGUUCUUAGGGACUCAAAAAAAAUUGUGUAAUCUUGAGACUCAGUGAAGUGUACUAGGCUCCUAAACACUUAACCCUUGAGAAAUACACCAGAGCCGUUUGGGGAGAAGAGGAGCACACCAACGCAGUGCUGAGGCGUGUUUGAGCAUUAACGCCUGUAGCAAGAGAAGUUCUCCAUUACAGCUGCAGAGAUAUGGAGCACUCUUGCAUGAUGGGCUUACAUAAAUGACUGAAGAGCACACAGAGCUGAUGAGUCCUGGGCCAAGACUGCGUGAUACAAAUCACUCAUGAUUUGUGCCUCUGACUGACGUUCCUCCAGCGAGGACUCCCAGAUAUGUACCAGCAUUGUGAGAUUCCCGUAACCACUGGUCUUUGGUAUUUCCUGUGAAACUUAAACCUAAUGUUGGAAAUCUGCAUCAGCACUCAACUGUUCUGCCCUUUGUUUUCUGUUCGUCAAGGUGGCUUUUCUAAUUAGCAUAAAUCACAAAGCUCCUGCAGCAAUAGUGUUGUCCAUGUGAUAUACAACAUCUCUGCUGUGCCCAAGGAAUAUUUACAAGCCAAAGGCUCUGCUUUGCUUGAUUUGGAGAAGCCUCUUGUUUCUUCUUUCAGUUUCUCAUUAUAAGAUAAAACAAAUAAAGGGCUUUAAGAGAAAAUAAUUUUAGAAUGCCGUGAUACUUUUAUUAUUAUGCAUGUCUGAAGUGAACUAAAUAAAUAAGCUAAAGGCAAAGGAAAUGCAACCCUAUGGACAUUCCAAAGUUUAAAAACAAGUGACAAUGUCUGCACUACAUCACAUUAGACUACAAUAAAAAAGUUAAUCGACUCUGAAUUUGGUGUAACCUAGCUGAAGAAAUAAGACACUUCUGUCGGGUAUGGAUGCAUAAUGUAAACAAUUUCAAAGAGUAUUUGGCAGUCUCUUGGAAUUUUCUCCAAAUGCUUUUGGUUCAAUGGGAGUGAAAAGCCAUGCUCCAUUAUAGCCUCACUUGAUCUUUUAUUUUAGAGGAAAGAAGCUUGGAGGCAAGUCUGCUUUGUAGCUUUAAGGUGACAGUGACAAAAAAGUGAAAUGAACUGCGUGCUUGUAUUUUUUUACCUACUCACCUUUCUUACUUUCAUUAUUGCCUUUAAUUUUCUUUCACUUAAAAUUUGAAAAUGUACGUGUGUCAGCUGUAAUAGAAUAAUUGGUGACAACUGCUGCCUUCGUUUAAGAAACUAACUGAUGUGUACACAUGCUUUAGUUUCAUGCUCUUUCUCAGAGGCUGAUGUUGGAGAGGGAAUAGGUGUUUCUGAUGUAUUCCUAAGCUGUAUAUCUUUAUAGUGUUUAUUUUUUAUACCGUCAUAGAUGAUCUUGAGUGCUUUGUAUAUGAGGAGUUAGGACUUUGGAGUAGGAAAUGUUUUUUUUCCUCUCUGGCUUUUGAAAGAUCAAUUAAGAACAACUCUGAUUCUGUGCAGCUUUCAUUCCUGUUGCCUGCUUCUGCAUUUUCAUGAGAAAUUGCAGCCUAAGUAGUAUUAAUCUGCUUAGUGGUUGGGUGGAAGCAGAGAACAGCUAGAAGUUGAUUUUCCCCGUUUCCUGCAGCGCACAAACCCAGUUGAGCAGAGCAGUUAGCCUUGCUCCUGAGGGCUAAUAUAAAUUAAAGGUCCUGAGCACCAGGGGUUGUUAAAAUUCUCAGAGGGCUCUUUAUAAGAUGUUAACCCCCGUGGUCUGGCCAGGCUCCAAACCGGGUAAUUACAUUCUUCCUACCUAAAUUCCCCCUGCAAUUGCAAUUCGAUGUGCUGGUAUUCCUCACUUCCUCUCCUCUGCCGUGCCCCGUGGAACAGUUGUUGCAUUUCAUCCCAGAGGUACUUGCUUUCAGUGACUGAUGGAGUGAUCUGUGUGUAGAGUCCAUAAAGCAUUUUAAGAGCCUUUUGGAUGAAAUGUAAUUUAUGGUGCUUUUUUUUUUUUUUUUUUUUUUUUUUUUUUUUUUUUUUUUAAUUAUCUCCUGUUUAAAAUGAACUGGGUUAUUCUGAGCCCUGAAUGAGUGUGAGCUGUGUGCAACAGACUGGAAUGAGAAAGCAUCAACAACUGUUCUCGUUCCUUGCUGAACUUCUUCCCAGAGGUUUUUUAGAUAAAAAAGGUAAAAGAUCAAACUAAAAGUAUAGGAAGCUUUUCUAAGAAGUUCGUUACACCAUAAGAAGAAUACAAACUAUAUAAAAAGGCUAAUGUGACUUUUGCCUCAACUGAAGUACAAAUUGAAAUGUGUGUAUGUAGAUACAACAUUUCUCCUGCUUAGGAAUUCUGUUGUAAGCUUAAGAGCAGCAACUAAAAACUCAUGUUGUAAAAGUUGCUCUUUUUCUACCCCUUUUUAGACUAGAAAAGCUUUUCAUUAUAAAGACACUAUAAUUUUCAUCAAGGUAUUACAUCAUAAUCAUAAGUAGACUCGUGUAAAUGUAAAUGUUGCUUGUAAGCAGAAAAGUAUGUAGUUAGCACUCAAUAUUUAACGAGAUAGUGGGGAAUAUCUAUAUGUGCCAAAUAUACAGAGACUUCAAAUACAGUCUUCUCUAAAUAUGGGAUUUGCAUGUCAGUUAUAUGCAAUGCCAAUAGGGUAAAGUGUGGCUGGGGGACAUCUUUCUGUUUAGUUUAACACUGGUUUCUCUCCACUCUUGGAGUGUCUCAUACUGAGCUUAACUCUGCUACGCAGGAAAUCUUUGUACAGGUGCUCGUCUGAAUAUGCCCAACACUUCUUUCAAGAGGUCACUUAGUCUGGUCUAACAGCCUAAAAUGUUUAUAUCAGUUAUUUCUCUCCUAGAAGAUCAGCAGAUAGAAAGAAAGCAACAGUGUUGACCUGUGCCGUAAAGUCCUCACUGAUUAAGGGACAUGCCUGAAGGUGAGCUACUCACCAUGCUGCAGGGCAAGUUGAAGGUUUUGCAGGUGACUUUUCUGGUAGCACAAGAAAUGUAUUUCCAGUCCCAGAUGGGAAAGAUCAAUGUAUGAGCCAAUACAAGUGAAUGUGAUGCACUACCUGAGCUUCUGAGGGGAUUCUUUGUUGCCUUGUGUGUCAGGAUGCUUGGAGGUCUGCACUGACCCGACAUUAGCCAUUUUCUAGUGCUGCUGAGGAAGGUAAAAAAAGCAAAAACAGCCAAUAAAGAAACAGAAAAAACUUUUUUACAUAAAAAAAUUGAAAUACAUGUCCAAUACAAUACAGAUACUUUGAAAGCCUGAAGCUUAAAAUGUCCUUGCAAGGUCUUCCAUUGUGUUUUAGUGAAAAACUACAUUAUGACAAACAUAUCUUCCUCUCUGAUCUGUGAUAAAAGAUGAAAUAAAUUUAAAUGUUUGACACUAAAUGUAGCUCAAUGUGCUCUGCUGCUUGUUGCUUAGAAAGGAGCCUGCGCUAAUUACACAGCCAGAUGUUCUUACGAGUUAUACCUAUGUAAUCCCACUCAGUGUGGCUUUAAUGGAUUUUAACUUAGAAUAAGAAAUUUAGUUCUCUUGCCUGUA